rnacentral:rRNA from 2 species
UAAGGCGGCCAGAGCGGUAAGGCAACACCCGUACCCAUCCCGAACACGGAAGUUAAGCUUACCCGCGUUGAGCGCAGUACUGGAGUGGGAGACCCUCUGGGAGUCGUUCACCGCCGCCUCCA